AUUGAACGCUGGCGGCAUGCCUUACACAUGCAAGUCGAACGGUAACGGGCCUUCGGGUGCCGUCGAGUGGCGAACGGGUGAGUAAUACAUCGGAACGUGCCCGAUCGUGGGGGAUAACGAGGCGAAAGCUUUGCUAAUACCGCAUACGAUCUACGGAUGAAAGCAGGGGACCGCAAGGCCUUGCGCGGACGGAGCGGCCGAUGGCAGAUUAGGUAGUUGGGGGGAUAAAAGCUUACCAAGCCGACGAUCUGUAGCUGGUCUGAGAGGAUGAUCAGCCACACUGGGACUGAGACACGGCCCAGACUCCUACGGGAGGCAGCAGUGGGGAAUUUUGGACAAUGGGCGCAAGCCUGAUCCAGCCAUGCCGCGUGCAGGAUGAAGGCCUUCGGGUUGUAAACUGCUUUUGUACGGAACGAAAAGCCUUCUUUUAAUACAGGAGGGUCAUGACGGUACCGUAAGAAUAAGCACCGGCUAACUACGUG
rnacentral:rRNA from 1 species